rnacentral:rRNA from 1 species
UACGAAGGGGGCUAGCGUUGCUCGGAAUCACUGGGCGUAAAGCGCACGUAGGCGGAUCUUUAAGUCAGGGGUGAAAUCCUGGAGCUCAACGUCCAGAACUGCCUUUGAUACUGGGGAUCUCGAGUCCGGGAGAGGUGAGUGGAACUGCGAGUGUAGAGGUGAAAUUCGUAGAUAUCAAGCAGAACACCUGCGGCGAAGGCGGCCUUCUGGACGAUGGACUGACGCUGAGACACGAAAGCGUGGGGAGCAAAC